rnacentral:misc_RNA from 1 species
GAAGGCAUCUUUAGGAUUCCAUUUUGCUAUGUUUUCUAUGGUUUGUCAGGGUGAGUUAGGGCUCUCUCCCUCCCAUCUGGUGUGUUCAUAGGAUGAUUUUGUAGGUUUUUAGUAGCAAAUCUUCGAUCAUACAUGUAGAGGGUAAUUUAGUGUAGAUCUAUUAGGAGGAAGCUACUGAUUGAAACUUGGCUUGGGUUUGUGGUUUCCUUG